ACCCUACGGGACGCAGCAGUGGGGAAUAUUGCACAAUGGGGGAAACCCUGAUGCAGCGACGCCGCGUGAGUGAAGAAGUAUUUCUGUAUGUAAAGCUCUAUCAGCAGGGAAGAUAAUGACGGUACCUGACUAAGAAGCCCCGGCUAACUACGUGCCAGCAGCCGCGGUAAUACGUAGGGGGCAAGCGUUAUCCGGAUUUACUGGGUGUAAAGGGAGCGUAGACGGUGCAGCAAGUCUGAUGUGAAAGGUCGGGGCCCAACCCCGGGACUGCAUUGGGAACUGUUGAACUGGAGUACAGGAGAGGG
rnacentral:rRNA from 1 species